GAUGAACGCCGGCGGCGUGCAUAACACAUUCAAGUCGAACGGAGUUAACGUAAUUAAUCCUUCGGGAAGCGUUAAGUUAACUUAGUGGCGGACGGGUGAGUAACGCGUGAGUAACCUGCCUUACAGAGGGGGACAACAGUUGGAAACGACUGCUAAUACCGCAUAAUGUAUGACCGAGGCAUCUCGGAGAUACCAAAGGAGCAAUCCGCUGUAAGAUGGACUCGCGUCCAAUUAGAUAGUUGGUGGGGUAACGGCCCACCAACCGACGAUCAGUAGCCGGCCUGAGAGGGUGAUCGGCCACAUUGGGACUGAGACACGGCCCAAACUCCUACGGGAGGCAGCAGUGGGAAUAUUGCACAAUGGGGGAAACCCUGAUGCAGCAACGCCGCGUGAAGGAUGACGUAUUUCGGUAUGUAAACUUCUAUCAGCAAGGAAGAUGAUGACGGUACUUGACUAAGAAGCCCCGGCUAACUACGUG
rnacentral:rRNA from 1 species